rnacentral:rRNA from 1 species
UACGAAGGGGGCUAGCGUUGCUCGGAAUCACUGGGCGUAAAGGGUGCGUAGGCGGGUCUUUAAGUCAGGGGUGAAAUCCUGGAGCUCAACUCCAGAACUGCCUUUGAUACUGAGGAGCUUGAGUCCGGGAGAGGUGAGAGGAACUGCGAGUGUAGAGGUGAAAUUCGUAGAUAUUCGCAAGAACACCAGUGGCGAAGGCGGCUCACUGGCCCGGUACUGACGCUGAGGUGCGAAAGCGUGGGGAGCAAACAGG